GAAUUUUAUCGGCAGCAUCCCUCCAUCUGUGUGCAACCUCAAGUACCUGAUCCACCUCGACUUUUCAUACAACAAGCUCACUGUGAGAUUCCCGGGCAUCACGUUCUACGCUUACUCCUGGCUACGAUACCUUGAUAUCUACUAUAACAGCUUCCAUUAGUGCUUACUCAUGAUAUCAGCCAGCUGUCGCCAUCCAUGAAGCUUCUCUGCCUGACUAACAAGUUCUUCUGUAGUGUUCUGCCGACGGCGAUGGCCAAGCACUAGGCACUUCAGAACCUACUUCUUGACACGAAUGGCUUCACCGGCGAGAUUCCAGAGGCAUUCUCAAGCCUAAAGGAACUAACCAUUUUGGACAUGUGGGGCAACAAAUCAGUGGUUCGAUCCUCGUCUGGAUUUGGCAGCACCAAAAGCUCGAGAUCUCGUACUUGUAUGACAAUGUACUCAACGGGAAGUUGCCAUGCAACAUCACUGCGGUGAAUUUGAUUAAAAUAGACUUGUUGGAAAACAAACUUGCUGGCUGCAUACUAGAAGACUUUGGGACACUCAAGAAACUAACCAUUAUCAUCCUAUACAACAACGAGUUCAUAGGCCCCAUCUCCAUAAUCAUUGGCCUCAUUCCCAAACUCCAAUACAUCCAGUUGUUCGACAAUAUGAUCUCGAGUGAGGUACCACAACUUGGGAAGCACUCGCCGCUUGGAAAUUUUGAGGACUACAACAACUUGUCUGGCUCGCUACCGGAGAAGUUAUGCACCUAUGAGAAACUAUUCAACUUUGUAGUUUCUAACAACAGCUUCUCCGACGAGCACCCGGAGCAUUGGCAACUGCCUAUCGCUGGAUAACAUUAUGCUCGACAACAACAACAGCAACAACAACUUCUCUGGGAAGUUUCAGGUGAAUAUAUGGCUGUUGCCAUCGGUGCAUACAUUGCUAAUAUCGGACAACAACAUCACUAGCACUAUGCCGAUAGAGAUAUCUUCGAAUAUCUCUCAAAUUGAGAUGCAGAACAACCAUUUCUCUGACUCGACCCUGACAUUUGAGACUGGGCUAUUGGUGUUGAUGGUGUAGAAUAACCAACUCCCGGGAGAGCUACAUGUCAACAGAAGCAAUAUCCACAUACUUUCUGAAUUGUCACUAAGUGGGAACAAGAUACCUGGAUCCAUACCAACAUCAAUUGAAUCAUUGCGGAAUCUCAAAUCACUUGACCUCAGCAACAAUCGUAUAUCAAGUGCAAUACCGUCAUGGAGCAUUGAGAUGAUUUCAUCACUGGUAAUCCUUAAUUUGUCCAACAACGAGCUAACAUGCAAUAUUCCGCCUUACUUCGGCAACCAUUCAGUUGCAUCCCACAAUUUGUCAUUUAUAACCAACUCAAUGGGAAGUUGCCCCUCUCUCUGCAAAGUGCAAAGUACAACCGCGGCUUCCUUCGAAACCGUGGGCUUUGUGCCAAGUGGGGAUUGAGGAUAAAUCUCCCAAAAUUCCACGGAGGCACCCAUCUCCAGAAGUGUAUGAUAGUCUUGUUAGUGCUCGGUGUCACUAUCAUCAUCACUUGCAUGAGCAUCGCCAUAUGGCUACUCUUCUGUCGGAAGAACACACAAGUGGUGAAAGAAGUUGUGACUGAUUAGAAAAUGACACCAUUCACACCUCUGGACUUCACGGAAUCCGACGUGCUGAACAACAUAUCUGAGGAGAACAUUGUCGGCAACGGCGGGUCUGGGAAGGUGUACCGUGUCCACCUCCCUGGCCGUCAUGGUCUCUUGAGGAUCGCAGCAGCGGAAUAGUGGCUGUUAAGAAGGUAUGCAACAUUAGAAAUCUAGACCACAAGCAGUCUGACUCGAAGGUGAAGACAUUGGGGAGCAUCAAUAACAAGAACACGAUCAAGCAGCUUUGCAGCAUCUUCAGCCAAGAUGCCAAGCUGCUUGUUUACGAACACAUGGAGAAGGGCAGCCUCGACGACUGGCUGCGCUGCUGUGACCGCAAGGGCGCCCCUACGCCAUUGGACUGGCCGACAAGGCUGACCAUCGCUAUUGAUACAUCCUUGGGCCUCAACUACAUCCACAAAGAGUGCGGACAGGCUAUUAUCCAUCAGGACAUAAAGUCAGCCAACAUUUUGGUUGACCCAGAGUUCCAUGUCAAGAUCGCCGACUUUGGGCUUGCUCGAAUGGUUGUCAAUCCACGCCAGUCCCACCAUAGGUCAGCCAUUUUUGGGACACACAGCUACAUGGCCGAACCUCAAAUCUAGCAAGGCGUCUCAAACCUUUCUGUUGAAAGCUAACUGAAUGCAAAUUUUGCAAAAUACUAAUAGUACAGUGGAGGGGCGAGCUCUAGAAGACCGAUAUCUAUAGUUUUAGUGUCGUUCUGCUAGAGCUGACAACCGACAUGGUUGCCGUGGGCAUUGGAGGAGGAGAAAGAUUGGCUGAAUGGGCAUGGAAGGUUUUACAAGAUUGCUCUUUAACGAAAGACAAAAGCGUCGAACAUAUCCGUGACACGGUCCAGUUAGAGGAUAUUUUUAUGGUGCUGAAACUCGGUGUUCCCUGGACGAGUCCUCAAGCGUAUCUGCGGUCGAGCAUGAAGCGCGUCCUUACCCAUUUCAUGCUCAUCCAAUGCAACCGGAGGCACGUACGUAGCUGGGCUGAGACUAUGUUGCGGAGGAGCGGGACCGCAAGGGGCACCUCCAGCAGUCGGCAUGGCCAUCGACGCGACUCUGUAGCACAUACAUCAAUCUAGAGUAAUUAAGUAUCAUUCGGACGCGGUGUUUCUGAUCGCGAGCACACCUGUGCUCUUUAUCAGAGCGGUUGAGGUGCAUGUUGGGAUGCGAUGCAUUAAAUCUAAAUGGCUGGCAGAGAUAGAAGUGCUUCCGUAAAUAAGGAAAUGAAAGAAUACACCUGGGCUAUGGGCCAAGAUGUAAACGGAGGAGAAGACGUCGGCGAAGGCAACGAGUCGAGUCGUGGCUCAGGACGUCCACUUUCUUCCUGAUCCGUGGAUCAGGAAAUUUGCUUUUCGUUAACUCAGCAGACGGAGGAGUAAAUGAGUAGAUUGGGUGGCAGGUGGAGGGGAUUGGGGUUGUCCGGCCAUCUCCUACCUCUGGCGGCUGCAACUUCGAAUCGAUAGAGCAUUCGAGCUUGGGGAGAAGAGAUUCUACUAGUAAGUCCAGAUCUAUGGGUGGAGAUGGAGUGGCUAAUGGAGCCGACUAAAAGAUCCCAUGGAUUGAUUGAGGUUGCAGUGGCGUCGAGUCACAACAUUAUCAGAUACAUGCUGUGAAAUCAUAUUUUGCGUGGGGCGCCAACAAGCCAGCGGCGGUGCUCAAGCGGUGUCACUUUCAGUGGCUAUAGCAGCCAAAAAUCAAAAGCCCUCUAUAUUCUGAUGGCAAAGCUGAUGCAUGUAUCCCACGGGGCAUCACAUAGAUUAGCAUUCAAGGUAGGUUCGAGUCUGCAGAUCGGGUGGGACGGUAUGGCUGGAAUACGCUUGGUAACAGGGAGGAUUACCACUGCUGUGUACAAGACCUCUAAGGAAGACCAUCGUCAGUAAGCUACGAGAACAAGGGCCAUUAGCUUUUUGCAAGUGGAGAUGCAACCAUUGGAAACCAGAACGAUGAUGCUACUUGGGCAAAUGAGACUGGGACAGGCUCGCCGGAUUGUUGGCGCCAAAGAAGCGAAAAGAGAUGGGUCGCCCAACAACUAGCCGAGAGAAGGCGCCGUACCACCAUGGUGUUGUGGAACUAAAUGUGUGUGGGAAUUGUGCACUUAUUAGUUGUAUGUUGUUUUCAGGCUUACUGUAUGUCUUUGUAUGCUGUAGUCAUGAUAAUGGCAACCUGGCUUGUUUAUGAGUUAGUACUAGAAAAAACUCCUUCAGAUGUCUGUUGAACCUGUUAUCAAUCUUGUAUGAAUGGUGCGGCGAUUUCUGAAUUUUUUGGACAGUGUCCGUGUGCAUA